UACGUAGGUGGCAAGCGUUGUCCGGAUUUACUGGGCGUAAAGAGCGCGCAGGCGGCUGAUUAAGUCGAAUGUGAAAGCCCCCGGCUCAACUGGGGAGGGUCAUUCGAUACUGAUCAACUUGAAGGCAGGAGAGGGUAGUGGAAUUCCCGGUGUAGUGGUGAAAUGCGUAGAUAUCGGGAGGAACACCAGUGGCGAAGGCGACUUCCUGGCCUGUUCUUGACGCUGAGGCGCGAAAGCUAGGGGAGCAAACGGG
rnacentral:rRNA from 1 species